CAACCUCUGCUUUUAGCAAGAAGCAGAAAUGUGGCAUAAGGAUAUGUUACUUCUGAGUUGAUACCAAAUUGGUUUUGAAUAGAGCUGGAAUUCAAUUAAAAUGAACACAAACGUUUGUCUGACAGCAUCUUCAACCUCCCCCUGGCAAGAAAUUCAACAACUGAACUCAUUCACAUUGUACGAAGAAGUAUCUUCUCCUCUUUGCUUUGAAAUUGCCACCUACUAUCUUUAAACAUUCUUAAACAGCUAAUUAACAAGGAAUAAUUACACAUUCCACUGCUUGUGAUAAUAUAAAAGUUAUGAUGUGCCCUGUCUGAUCUGUUACUUGCUCCCUCAUAAGCAGGUAGUACAGUUAUUUAAACUUGAAUAAAUAUAAGACCCUCAAGCUGAGAAUCUGUUCAGGAAGAAGAGCCAAUAUGGAUGCCAUUUAAACAUUCUUGUGUAGUAAGGAGACCAAGACCAUAUCAAGCUUUUGAAAUUUCUGGCAAAAUAGUUGGCUGUGUUACAAACAUCAUCUAGCACUUUGGUUCAACACCUAAAUAUAGUCUAAGCUACCUAGCUUAGGCAUUCAUAUUUGAAAACUAGGUCUCCAUGAGUCAUUUACUUUAAUGAUGCUUAAUUGCCUCAAAUUUAAUCCUUUUUUAAA